GUUGGGUUAAGUCCCGCAACGAGCGCAACCUUGUCAUUAGUUGCUACGAAAGGGCACUCUAAUGAGACUGCCGGUAGACAAACCGGAGGAAGGUGGGGAUGACGUCAAGUCCUCAUGGCCCUUAUGGGUAGGCUUCACACGUCAUACAAUGGUCGGUACAGAGGGCUGCCAACCCGCGAGGGGGAGCCAAUACCUAAAAAGCCGGUCUCAGUUCGGAUUGCAGGCUGCAAUUCGCCUGCAUGAAGUCGGAAUCGCUAGUAAUCGCAGGCCAGCAUACUGCGGUGAAUACGUUCCCGGGCCUU
rnacentral:rRNA from 1 species